UACGGAGGGUGCGAGCGUUAAUCGGAAUUACUGGGCGUAAAGCGCACGUAGGUGGCGACGUAAGUCGGGUGUGAAAGCCCGGGCUCAACCUGGGAAUUGCAUUCGAGACUGAAUAGCUAGGGUACGGUAGAGGCAGGUGGAAUUCCCGGUGUAGCGGUGGAAUGCGUAGAGAGUCGGGAAGAACAUCAGUGGCGAAGGCGGCCUGCUGGGCUGUUGCUGACGCUGAG
rnacentral:rRNA from 1 species